GUUUUCCUCUUCGGAGGACAAAAUGACAGGUGGUGCAUGGUUGUCGUCAGCUCGUGUCGUGAGAUGUUGGGUUAAGUCCCGCAACGAGCGCAACCCUUAAGCUUAGUUGCCAUCAUUAAGUUGGGCACUCUAAGUUGACUGCCGGUGACAAACCGGAGGAAGGUGGGGAUGACGUCAAAUCAUCAUGCCCCUUAUGAUUUGGGCUACACACGUGCUACAAUGGACAAUACAAAGGGCAGCGAAACCGCGAGGUCAAGCAAAUCCCAUAAAGUUGUUCUCAGUUCGGAUUGUAGUCUGCAACUCGACUACAUGAAGCUGGAAUCGCUAGUAAUCGUAGAUCAGCAUGCUACGGUGAAUACGUUCCCGGGUCUUGUACACACCGCCCGUCACACCACGAGAGUUUGUAACACCCGAAGCCGGUGGAGUAACCAUUUUGGAGCUAGCCGUCGAAGGUGGGACAAAUGAUUGGGGUGAAGUCGUAACAAGGUAGCCGUAUCGGAAGGUGCGGCUGGAUCACCUCCUUUCUA
rnacentral:rRNA from 1 species